rnacentral:sRNA from 1 species
AAUUAGGUGAUUGUGAGAAACAAUGGU